rnacentral:rRNA from 1 species
UACAGAGGGUGCAAGCGUUGUUCGGAAUUAUUGGGCGUAAAGCGCGUGUAGGCGGCUUAGCAAGUCGGGCGUGAAAGCUCUCGGCUCAACCGAGGAAGUGCACCCGAAACUGCUGAGCUUGAGUGCCGGAGAGGAUGGCGGAAUUCCCCAAGUAGAGGUGAAAUUCGUAGAUAUGGGGGAGGAACACCGGUGGCGAAGGCGGCCAUCUGGACGGUAACUGACGCUGAGACGCGAAAGCGUGGGUAGCAAACAGG